GUUGGCGAUAAGAGCAGAAAUGUCACCUUGGUCUCUGCAGCUUCUGAAAACUCCAUAAAACUUUGAUUAUUCCAUGGAGUUGGGAAGUGGAAGGGGUCAUUUCGAGCAUCCCAGUUUCUGAAAAAAAGUGUGCACCACUGAUGUCAUGCAUCAUGUCACCUCCUGCACCUUGUAAUGUGUCAGCGGUGAGCUUCACAGGAGGUUGAUUCUAUCUUCUUCAGCUCCAGCCUGAGCCGUCACCUCAACCAACCACUACCUCUAUGACGUCUGCUUGACAUUUAUGCUGACCCCCCUAGUCCUCUGGAGGAGUGCCCUUUAUGAAAAGAUGUAGGAGGUAAGUGUGUGUGUUUGUGUCUGUAUGUGUCCUUGUGUGUGUUUGUGCAUGUGAGCGUGCAAGCGUGCGUGAGGAUCGCAGGGCUAGAGUUGUGACUUCACCAUCUACCUACUGCACCGUGAACUGUUACUGAAUGCUAAAUAUGUCUGCGAGUGUCACCUCCUGACCCCCUGCAGCUCCCUGAGGCCGUCACCGUGCACUUUGCAUGUGAAAUGCUGGAAGAGAGCGGUCUCCUUCGUUGUCAUCAUGAGCCAUGCCACCUCUGUC